AUGAUCAGUUGGGCUGCACAGAACAACCUGUUAUCGAGCUUGGGUCUCAAUACCAAUGUGCCGAGGGCCUCCUUUUUUGCAGACGACGCGGUUCUCUUUUUCAGAAACUGCCCUAGUGAUAUGGAGGUGAUUGCUGCCAUUCUGAAACUUUUCGGAGAGGCUUCCGGGCUUCGCAUCAACCUGCAAAAGAGCACGGUUACUUGCAUCAGAUGCGAUGAGUCCUCCUCGGCGGCUGUGGCUCAGUUCUUCGGCUGCCAAUCCAAACUAUCCCCGCUGUAG
rnacentral:rRNA from 1 species